CAGGUGUUCAAAAGGCCCUGUCUAUGACAUCACUUGCUGCUGCAGCUUGACACAGGUCAGAGUAUUUUGGUGGGUGCCAUCUUCAAACGGUCGUAUCUUAAAAACUAUAACUCCUACAGCGAAGAGCUUUAUAUUGUGAGAAUCACAAGACCCAGACCUACAUUUUGAUGCAUAGUAUGUCUCUGAAGUAUUAAAAAUGAAGGCACAGUCGCAGUUUAGAAAUUGCACUUCAAAUUUGAGCUUUGCAGAGUGAAGUUUCAAUGAAUGUCAAU